CUUCGCGGUGUCGUUUACUUCACAUGAGCGGGCAGCGGCCUUGGAGGGAGCCGCUGCCCUGGAGCGGGA
rnacentral:sRNA from 1 species